rnacentral:rRNA from 1 species
GAUGAACGCUGGCGGCGUGCCUAAUACAUGCAAGUCGAGCGAACAGACGAGGAGCUUGCUCCUCUGACGUUAGCGGCGGACGGGUGAGUAACACGUGGAUAACCUACCUAUAAGACUGGGAUAACUUCGGGAAACCGGAGCUAAUACCGGAUAAUAUAUUGAACCGCAUGGUUCAAUAGUGAAAGACGGUUUUGCUGUCACUUAUAGAUGGAUCCGCGCCGCAUUAGCUAGUUGGUAAGGUAACGGCUUACCAAGGCAACGAUGCGUAGCCGACCUGGGAGGGUGAUCGGCCACACCGGAACUGAGACACGGUCCAGACUCCUACGGGAGGCAGCAGUAGGGAAUCUUCCGCAAUGGGCGAAAGCUUGACGGAGCAACGCCGCGUGAGUGAUGAAGGUCUUCGGAUCGUAAAACUCUGUUAUUAGGGAAGAACAAAUGUGUAAGUAACUAUGCACGUCUUGACGGUACCUAAUCAGAAAGCCACGGCUAACUACGUG